ACUGAAAUAUGACCCCAUGGCGACGAAAUUUUGGAAGAUAUUCAAUUCACUGAAACAUAAACCCAUGGCGACCCGGGUACUCCGGCCCAAAGUCCAAAGCGGGAAGGCGAGGUAUAAGCCGUUUGGGCUAUGGAGCGCGGCCACUGCAACUGCAGUGAAUUGAUUUAGAUUUUAGAGAGAGAGAGAGGAAAGGAGUGAUCGAUUGACAUUUUAGAGAGAGAGAAGAGAGGAAUGCUUCUUCGUGUCUCAGAGGAUGGGAGCAAGAGGCGUCAUGGCUUCUUGGACAAUUACAGGCAGCUUCACCAAGCUCUUCUUGAUCUGCAGAGAGCUGCAGAUCAUAUAUUUGACACUGUGAUUCAAAGAACUGAAAAGGAGCAGCAAAAAUUAAAUGCUGUUUUGCAGAGAAUUGACAAUGCUAAGAUCAAGAUUGAUGCUUUAUCACAUACAAAGAGAGCAGCUACUGUGAGAUCUAGUUCAAGUUAUCCCUUUGUAGGCGAGGAGGAUUUUAAGCCUUUGUUUGGAUGCACAGAUGGUACUAAUGACUUAGAAUUUCCUAUAGCGAAGUUGCUAUUGAAUGGAGGUUUGAAUAAGGAUUUAGGGGAAGAUGGCACACUUGAGCUUUUUCAGUUUUUCUCGGAGACAACAUCUGAACAUAUCCCAAAGGAGGUGAAGUCAAAGGGAGAUGCUGAACCAUUACAAAGGAGUGGAAUGUUUUUGGUGAAUCAACCGCCACAUCCUUUGAUCAAGUUGCCUCAUGAGAGUUUAUUGAGGGCGGAGAGUAAUAGCAGAGGUGUUCCUUCAUCCAUCCAAAAGCAUCAACUGCUGCCGCCACCACCGCCUAGUUUACUUCCUCAAGCUUCGAGACUAAAUUCAAAAUCAGAAGGUUUUGCAUUUAAAUCUGCAAAACAGAAGGGAUCUAUCAGAUUGCCAAACCCCCUCCUGGACCUUCCUGCAGUUUCUGAAACAACACGAAAUGGUGGUGGUGAUGGAUCGCAAACAAUAACAGAAAACAUAAACACACACACUCCAUCAACUCAAACAUUGCCCUUUUUAGCACCAUCACCUCCCCUUCCUCCACCUCCUCCUUCACUAGCCACAACAUCGUCCAUCAAGGAGCAUGAUGCUACUGAAACCUCUAAGUCUGUGAAGACACACGAGGUCAAUCCACCACGUAUUUCAUCAUUACCUUUUGUAGAUUCCAAAAGAGCUGCCCUUCUUGUUUCUAUACGUAACCCUGGAAUAGUUCUCAGAAAGGAUGGCACCACAAAUUUCCAAGGCGUUUUUCCCCUGAUCAUGUUUUGCAAUGCUGUUACUUCACUGAAAGGGAGUUUUUUGUUUAAAUAAGAGGCCUGAAUAAAUCAGUUACUUAUAGGAUAUAUGGUACCUUCUAGGAGGUCUCUUCUUUACCAUCUUUAACUCUAAGUCAAUACAUGGGGAAUAUUACGUCUUCAUAUGAACAAGAGGCUCAACUGUUAAAGGAAAACUGGGUUCUAACUGAUCCACUGUGUUAUUCAUCUCGGGUUAAAUUUUUGUAUGCAACGAGAUUGAAUGCCACAUCAAGUUAACCUGGUUUUCCAAAAUGUGAUGCUAUUUGAUAUUUCAUGGCAUCCACAAGAUUUUCCUUUACUCAGCCAUUUUGCGUGCUGUCUAUCUCAUUGUACCUUUAACAGACAGGUCACAUGCAACCUGAUUCAGAUGCAGUAGGUUCUUCUGCUUCACCAAAGAAAGUCAUCAAAUCUAGUGGAUCGGAAAACAGUCCUAUAGCUGUAAAACCCAAGUCGGUCAAUCUUCUUGCUGAGGUAGCAUCGUCCCUUAAAAUGAGAAGGCUUUUGAUGCAAGGUGGCUUCCAUGGUAAAGAGCAGGCUGAAGGUCCUGAUUACACUAGUAGUCCGUCCAAAAGCAGAUCGCAAGGACCGCUUCCAGAUGCAGAAUCAAAUGUGUCCAGUGAUCGUAGUGAAGAGGAUGAUUGGGAUGACUAGAUUGUCCCGAUUGAUUUCAACUAACAGGCUACUGCUGUGUACAUCCCUGUCAAAUCCACUAUUUGGAUAAAGAAAAAAAAGAAGAUCCAACUACAUUUGGGACGCAUUCUGCCGAGAGGGGGGGAGUGGCAUCUAUUCCUGUCAAUCUGCAAUCUGCAAUCUGCAGAAGCAGAUGCAUGCGGCCUGAAAUUAGGUCCGACCUACUUCCAUGUCAAUGGAUCUACAGAAGCAGAUGCAUGCGGCCUGAAAUUAGGUCCGACCUACUUCCAAGUCAACGGUAAAAACUUGUAGUUUAGCACAUGGGCUAUCCAAACACACCUGAAGGUAUUCCUCUAUUUAUGGUCAGGUUCAACUGCUAAUUUUUGUGUAAGCCUCACCAUGGUGGUCCAUCGAAACAGGCCCUUAGUGGUUAUUGAAUCUUAGAAUUUGCUCCAGAUAAAACUAAAUUUCUUCUUUUU